rnacentral:rRNA from 1 species
CGUGAGUGAUGAAGGCUUUCGAGUCGUAAAGCUCUGUUAGGUGGAAAGAAACAUUCCAACGCUAAUAUCGUUGGAACUUGACGGUACCACCAGAGGAAGCACCGGCUAACUCCGUGCCAGCAGCCGCGGUAAUACGGAGGGUGCAAGCGUUGUUCGGAAUUACUGGGCGUAAAGGGCGUGUAGGCGGUUAGGCAAGUCAGGUGUGAAAUCCCUUGGCUCAACCAAGGAAGUGCGCUUGAAACUGCUUAACUAGAGUACAGGAGGGGAAAGUGGAAUUCCCAGUGUAGAGGUGAAAUUCAUAGAUAUUGGGAGGAACACCGGUAGCGAAGGCGGCUUUCUGGCCUGAUACUGACGCUGAGACGCGAAAGCGUGGGGAGCAAACAGGAUUAGAUACCCUGGUAGUCCACGCUGUAAACGAUGUGCACUAGGUGUAGGAAGUGUUGACCCUUUCUGUGCCGAAGCUAACGCAUUAA